GACGAACGCUGGCGGCGUGCUUAACACAUGCAAGUCGAACGGAAAGGCCCUGCUUGCAGGGUACUCGAGUGGCGAACGGGUGAGUAACACGUGGGUGAUCUGCCCUGCACUUCGGAUAAGCUUGGGAAACUGGGUCUAAUACCGGAUAGGAACCAUCUUUAGUGUGGUGGUUGGAAAGUUUUUUCGGUGUAGGAUGAGCUCGCGGCCUAUCAGCUUGUUGGUGGGGUAAUGGCCUACCAAGGCGGCGACGGGUAGCCGGCCUGAGAGGGUGUACGGCCACAGUGGGACUGAGAUACGGCCCAGACUCCUACGGGAGGCAGCAGUGGGGAAUAUUGCACAAUGGGCGCAAGCCUGAUGCAGCGACGCCGCGUGGGGGAUGAAGGCCUUCGGGUUGUAAACUCCUUUCGCUAGGGACGAAGCUUUUUGUGACGGUACCUAGAUAAGAAGCACCGGCUAACUACGUG
rnacentral:rRNA from 1 species